UACGUAGGGUGCGAGCGUUAAUCGGAAUUACUGGGCGUAAAGCGUGCGCAGGCGGUUGUGCAAGACCGAUGUGAAAUCCCCGGGCUUAACCUGGGAAUGGCAUUUGUGACUGCACGGCUAGAGUGUGUCAGAGGGGGGGUAGAAUUCCACGUGUAGCAGUGAAAUGCGUAGAGAUGUGGAGGAAUACCGAUGGCGAAGGCAGCCCCCUGGGAUAACACUGACGCUCAUGCACGAAAGCGUGGGGAGCAAACAGG
rnacentral:rRNA from 1 species